UCACUUUGGGAGAAGCCAGCUGUCAUGUGUUAGGACACUCAGGCAGCCUGUGGAAAAUCGCACAUGGCGAGGAACAGAGGGCUCCAGUCAAACAACCAGUGCCAACAACCACGUUCCCAGGUGCUGCUGUUGCUGCCGAGGGUCAGAGGACACACUCUGAGAACUGGUGCUCUGAAGAACAAUGGAACUAAUUAGCAACAAGAGAAGACCACAGAUAAGAAUCUCAAAUACCGAAACACCACUGAGGAGACACUACCCUGACAUGCUAGGCCUCAGGGGGAAAUCGUGUCUGGCCUUCACCUCCCCAGAAACGCAUGCUAAAGGCAAACUAGCCACUGAAGGAACAAGUUCAGCAACAAGAAAGCGAGACCCUGAAUAGCUUUUGCUAAUGAGAAGUGAUUUGGACAAACACAUUCAGAGAGUGCUAAAGGCCAUCUUGCCUCAGGGCCUGUCUACCACUCUCCUUCUGGAGCUCUCCUCUCAUCGGCAAGUAGGUUCAGCCAUCUCUUGGGAAGCUGAACCCACUCCCUCACUGCGCCACGCCCCUGUGAGAAUUAUGAAUUCUCGCAGCCAACCUUUUAUUUUGGAGCAUUUACCACAACUGGAAUCAAGUUGUGUCAUUUGCCUUUGUCUUGUUCAAUGGUGUCCUCCCACCACCUAGCACAAAACCUACGCAAAUAUUUGUGGAACAAAUGCACAGAUGCUAUGACCGAGGAACUUGCAAAUAUAUAUAAGAGGGUUUCACGUAGGACUUGCUGACAGCUUUGGUUGAAGUCACAAGACAAGCUGUGCCAUCUACAUCCACCACUUCCACACUAGUACGUCAGAUUCUGAACCAUAUAUUCCGGGACUCACAGAGGGGGGUAGUAAAAAUAGCCAGCUUUUCUUCCCUUCGCUUCUGGCUCGUCACUGGUGUAAAGGAUGGAGGUAGAAAAGUCAGCUCGUGUUAGAAAUCAGAGGCUUUCUAUAGAGGGUGACAGUGAGCUUCCCUCUUGCCAAAGGUUAAAGAGACCAGCUUCAUAAAGACCACUCAGAAAAACUAAUCUGUGACUCCUCAAGCUUGGGGGACACACAGGGCUGGCAUGUGACUCGUGCCUGAAAAUAAAGGUCUAGCAGAGUCGAGGAUGCAUUUGGAAGUCACUACACUCGUGGAUACCAAGCCAAAAGUGCUGAUUGGUCUAUGACUGGGGUGGAAGUGUGGGUGAGUGACCAGAUGGGAUACCUCUAGUUGGCAUGUUAGUGUGAUCAUUUUAAAACGGGCAGUAAGCUAUUACCUUCUUGCCUGAAGUGACGGUGGUAUGCUAUUGGAGGCAGAUGCUGAGGGGCGCUGCAAUGGCUGGCUAUAGGAGAGGCCAGAGGAGUCCAAGGCACCCAGGGUGGGCUCUGACAGUGCCCAAAGGAAACCAAGGCCAAGGACUUGAAGUGUGUCAUCCAAUCAGCCCUCUCAUGCUCCUUAUCUCUCCUCCCUACCUUCCGGUCCUUUCAUUCUGGGAAAUGCUGGGUGGUGGGAGGAGUGGGGAGAAUGGCAAAUAGCACUUGGCUUCCAGCCUAAAGCAGGCCUAAGCUGGAUGAGGGGAGAAUAUUCCAUUCUAAGUGGAUUUCGGAAUUGUGGCUGUUACACGACUGGACUUGCAAGUUAACCGAAAUUAGGCCCUUGCUAAAAGUGAAUACAGGACUUACUUAAAAGUAGUUGUCUGCGAGGAAUUCUGGGACCUGCCAGAAAGUUCAUCUCUGAAGACAAACAGCCCCCAAAAAGUAGGUUUGUAGGGACACACAUGACAAUUGCUGGUGCUUUGUGAUUGCCCUAUCCAGUCCCUCAUGGUCAAUGUGACAGUAUUGAUUUAAUCUUCACAGGCAUUAUUUUACCAGGGAUGAAAGAAAGAGAUCUAGGGAUUUGGGCAAAUUGCUCUGGGUCAAAGGUAGGUGAAUAUCAGGAACUCAGGCCCAGGGUGGAGGACUCCGUGUUCCAUUCUUUCCUCCAAUACCAUAAAGCAUUUUCUAUCUGCCUUCCGCAGUUUUUCAUGUACGGCUUUUAGGUCCCUGUUCCUGACCUGGCCUUGUCACCAUCUAUAUGUCAAAUCAUUUUUAACCAAAGACAAGGGGAAAAUGGUUAAGAAGUGCAUGUUAACAGAAGAGGGGAGCUGGGGUAGUUCACUCAGGCAAGAGGAGGGAAUGACGAGAAGGGAGGAGCAGGUGGGGAUGUGAGUUAAGGAAGGGAGGAGCAGAUGAUAAUUGGCUACCACAGUCAUAAAGAUUUGUCAACAGGGGCAGAGAGAGAGGAGGGAAGGAGGAGGGUGGAGAAAAAGGUGGCUUUGCUGAAGGUCCCUAGUGUCUCCUUACGGCUGUUCUCAGCUGCAGAGUUCUGAAGCUCAGGUGGCCACGAGACCCCUAGAGACCCUCUUGGCACUCCUUUGACAAGGCUGGUUUAAAUUAACUCUAUCCUUCGGAGGAGAAGGAAAAUCUUACAGGUAUAAGAAAAAGUGAUUUUCACGGCAGCCUUUUAUCCAAAGCAUCUUACCUAUAAUGAACAACCCCCCUAGUAAACUAGGUGGCAAGAAGCACUUAGGCUUCCAGACAAAAAGGCUCUUUUAAAAACUGUCCUUUAUAAAGACAACUGGAAAAGAGAAUAGAGUAUUCAAAGUUAAGCUCAAGUUUAGAACAAAUGCAUCAGCACUGUGUCUAAGUUACUGGUAGCCAAGAUGCCAAGAGAAGCGAAUGUGGUACUUGAAAAAAUUCAUAGAAAAAAAUGUAUUUCAUAGAGAAAUAGGAUUUUUCACAGAGCAAUCAAUAGCAGAGCCUUUAAAAUGUUCUGGGCUGUGUCCAUUUACCAGGGGAGCUCAAUCGCUUUUAUGCAAAUGUCUAAAUUAACCUAAUAGGGUUGUUCAGUUCUAGCUGGCUGCUUUGCUACGAAUAUUGCUACAAAGCUUUCCCCCUCUGAAUAAAAGAUGGAAAGAAAUAAAGUAUCCAAUAAAAAUACAUACAGAAAACAUACAAGGUGCCAGGCACCUCGCUACAUAUGUGUCAGCCCAGCAACCUCCAAGGCAGGUAUUAUCCUGUUCAUGAUGGGAAACUGAGGAUCUGGGGCUUUAUAAACAUGCCCACGGCCUGUGGCUUGUGAGUGGUGGAGCAGGACUCUAAGUCAAGCUGACUGGCUCGACUCCCUGCUCUGAACCUCUGUGCCCGCUGCUUGUGCUAUAGCACUGCUUCCCUGGUACUUUACCACUCCUUGUCUUCAUAUCCUUUUCCGGUGGUUGCUGGGCUGUUCUCAGCACCACCUAGAAGAGUGUGUAAGCUCCUGCGGUCUUAUCCUGCUCUCCCAUGUGCUGUCACUUAGACAUCUUCAUUUCACCAUCUACAACGUGAAGGUUUGGGAUUCCUGUAAAUGGAGAACUAGCCCAGCCCAUCAACAGCACUGGGCUUUGCUAGCUCUCCAGUUACAGGCAUCCCAAAGUACUUCGAUUAUCCUCAAAAUGUCUACCACUUGGAGGAUUACACAAAGGCUAGGCAUAAAAUAAAUGUCAGUAAAAUCACAUGGCAAAUGGACUUGCAAAGUCAAGUCAGUGUAUUAGUCCAUUUGUGUUGCUAUAAAGUUAUAUCCGAGGCUGGGUAAUUUAUAAAGACGAGGUUUAUCUGGCUCAUUUCUGCAGGCUGUACAAUAAGCAUGGUGCCAACACCUGCUUCUGGGAAGGGCUUCAGGGAGUUUUUACUUAUGGUGGAAGACAAAGGGGGAGCAGGUAUGUCACAUGGUGAGAGAGAGGACACGCCAGAUUAACAAGCAGAUAUGCCAUGAACUUAUUAUGGGAGGGGCACCAAGCCAUUGGUGUGGGAUCUGUCUCCAUAACCCAAACACCUCCCACCAGGCCCCACCUCUAACACUGGGAAUCACAUUUCAACAUGAGAUUUGGAGGGGACAAAUAUCGAAACUCUAUCAGUUAGUUUGUCAUGGGUGCCAGUCUGCCAUCAUUAACUGAUUCUUAGUCAUGACUUUGGGAAGAUAAAGUGCAAGAACACAAACUUGAAUGACAGAGAAGAUUCUUGGAGUAAUCCAAAUCCCUGGGCCACGUGAAUUUUAAAUAUGACCGAUAGAAAUAGUCUGCCUCAUUCAUUCUUUUAAUAAAUUGUUAUUGAGCACCUUUUAUAUGGCAGGCACUAGCCUAGAGGCUGGGGAUACCCUGGUGAACAGAGCCGUUUCUUCUCCCACGGACUUAAUAAUGCAAUUAGUAUCCAGUUAUAAUUAUGACAAAUGUCACAAAGGAGAAGUAUAGAAUGAAAGAGUAUAUACCCAGAGGAGCCUGGGUAGUGCAGGGGGUGGGGGUGGGGGCGGGGCCAGGGGUGGUUUAGGGAAGACUUCCUGAAGGAAGUGAAGCCUAAGCGGAGAGCUUAAGGAUAUGGAGGACUUAGCUAAGUGAGGAAGGGGAAGAGGGUGGUGGUGGUGGUACAGUCUACUUAGCACAGGAGGCCUUUGGGGUAGGAGAAGCAAGAAGUAUUGGAGAGCCUGAAGGAGGUGUGUGUGACUGAUGUGUGAAGAGUGGGAGGAACAGGCAACCAGACUGAUAAAGUAGAUCAUGCUAUCCAUGUGCUCCACAACGAGAUUCUGUAAGCCUAUUUGGAAUGAAGGAAGUCUGGAAGGGCAGUCAGCAUACUUCUAGAAGCCCCAGCUGUAGAACUGCAACAUGCUGGCCAAUUAUGUGGACUCAUCUGUAGGAAGCACUCUUCUACAUUCAUAGUCCUAGACGUGAAGUUCUUAUUGUCCAUCUACAAAUGUUCACAGGGUACCAACCAUCUAAUUACAGUAAGAAAAACCAGCCAGGCUGGCCAGUUGAAGGAGGCAGGCAGGAGUUGAAAUGACACAUCUCCAGUAUUGCACCUGGCAGAAUCAUCUGAUCCCUAACUUGAGAAUUAAGCAAUCAUGUCAGAGCCUACAGCCACUGCCAGUCAGCUUCCUGUCCCAGUCUCAGAAAGAUAAAACCAGUAGAGCAGGCAUGUGUACACCCAGUGUUCAAGAAAACAACCCCCUAACACCUCACCUUGAAACCUCUAGUUUCUGCCUUUGUCCCCCUUGCAAUCAGUCAAAAUGAAUUCAUUCUUACACGGAAAAUAGUGUUUCAACAAACACUCCUUCUUGCAUUCAGCAGAUAUUCUGUAGUUUAAAGAAUUUUUUUUUUUUUUUCACAGAGCUCCCAAGUGCUUUUACGAACAACAGUGAAACCCCUUGCAUGCCUCAGUAAGAAAGCAUAUUUUCAUUUUACAGCUGAGGACAGGAGCCUGUUGAAGGUCCAGUGGGAUAAGGGACUGGGGAGGGCACCUGACAGUCAUGGUGUUGGGAACCUCACUAAUCCUUGAGGCUUCUUAUAAACAUGACCAGAGACACCGCCCACAUUACUCCCUCUGGGUUUUUAAUACCAAUGUUUGAUUGAGGCUUUCUUCCCUUCCUCCUACAUUAUUCCUUCAGAAGAUUUUUAGAAACCAGAGGUUAAGGAUUCAGCUGGGAGAAUGCCCAUAUGUCUUCUCAGACUGGCAAGCGGGAGUCUGUUCCUGAGAUAGCCUUUUGGUAUGAAGAGAGAAUGAUAUGAUUACAAGACUGUACCCUUCCCUUCUACCUCCACUGCCCACUUUCAAAUAUCCUGUUGUUAACUGUACACUUUUGAAAGUAAAGUGAAUACGGGAAUCAACCUUUUCUCAAAGAGUGUGUUGGCCUCCCUUCAAAUGUAUUCUGUGAUUUCUGACAAAUCAACUCCCCCAAAAUAAUCCACUGAAAAUCUUUCUGAUCCCCACAUUCUAGCCUUUGGAACCAAAAGGGCUUGUCUAGCCUGUGUGGUAUCACUGGAAUUAUCACUUUGAAAAGAUUAGUCUUAUCCUAUAUAAACAUAUGAGGGCUAGGAUGGAGAAGUGGUUAGGAACACAGAUGCUGCGGUCUGACUUCCCAAGCUCUGCCAUGUACUAACUGCGUGACAGGCAAGUUUCUUAACUUCUUUAUGCCUUAGUUUACCCACCUGUAAAAUGGAGAUAAAAGGUGGUGAGAAAUGGGAUAAUGUAGCAAAAAUAUGUAACAAAGAGGAAACCCUCAAUAAAUGGUAACUAUGAUUAUUGUUCUCCUAGUAGAAAUUGCCCCUGGAGGGCGUGUUCUAUACUUACAAACAGGCAGAUCCCUGGAACAGAUUCUCUGUUCCCACUUCCUAGGGCCCCAAUAAGCAAUAUCUCUGUGAACACUCUGUCAUGGUUUUUUUUUUUUUUUUGUUUUUUUUUUUUUUUUUUUUUGACACAGAGGCUUGAAAUGAGACAAAGGAAAAACAAGUACCAGAAUUGCAAAGUUAACAUUUUUAUUGAACUGAAAUUGGUGUAGAACAGGGGCCACCAUAGCUGCUGAGCUCAGUAACAACUGAAAAGCCCCUGUGACAUUUUACCUUCGAGAGUCCUAACAUGGUUUGAGUGGAACAGCUGAGAAACAGCAUACAGAUAAUUUAACACCUCAAAAUAGUUUGAAAUGAGCCUCACAGCCUUGUUCAAUCUUCAGGCUACAAAUAACAUUGAUAGCAUCUUCUGUGGCCUUUACUUAGUAGUGCCAGUUAAUAUCCUUUCCCAAAACAUUCCUCUCAAAGUGCUGGCUAUAAUUUUUUCCCCAUUCAGUACACAUAAGAAAAGGAUUUAGUAACACUAGGGCAAGUAACAAACUGUAGAACUUUAAAAGUAGUAAAGGCAUAUACCAAGCAUACGUGACUCCAUACAUUGUCAGAAAGGCAGUGGACUGGCUAAAGAGUUUCUGCCAAGUUUCAGAAGCAAAGAAUGCCCUAAUGAAAAGGGUAAGGCAUCCAAGCAGAGUGUCUGAACUGAUGGACCAUUUUUGUCUAAAACUAAUUUCAACAUCUUCCAAUAUGCAAGCAGGCAUUUGUUUUAUAUAAUAAGGUUAAAUACUUUAUAAGGGAAAAGAAAACUCCUAUAAAGCUUAUAAGAUCAAUCAGAGAAAAAAUUAAUACUGAAUUUUUAUGAUCAAUGCAUGGAGCAAUGAUAUAAACUGACCAUAACAAUUUUGUGAGAACAAGUAUAAAACAUCCAUUACGACUUAAAAGUUGAAAGUUAACCCCUCUAAAGUAUUCAAAGGGGAAUAAAUAAUCAACAAGAUAGGAAACGCAAUGCCUAUAUUUUUCAAAAAACCCACAUCUGUUAAUGCUCUCUUGGUUUGAUUUAAACCAAUUGUUUAUUCAAUCUGGAGUUGAUUUAAGGAUGUUGGUAAAAAUCUUCAAAAGUCCUUCAAAUCAUUUGAGAUGAAAUGUGAUGGAAAAAAACUAUACAACUCAUUCUCUAAUCUUUAAUCUUGAUUUUUUUACACUAAUUACCCUUCCAAAACAACAAACAAACAAACAAACAAAAAAGGAGAUAAAUUCUUCCACCAGAGUAACCGACAUUUAGUGGCCACUAUUCCUGUAGCAAUCAUUUGUAAGAAUCUAAAAGUCUUGCAGCAGGGAAUGAAAAGUGAUUAUAAAUAUUUUAAUAGGCUGAUGCCCCAUCUUUAAAAGGGAUAAAACUUGGAUAAUAGCAGAUUCAGAGAUUUACAACUUUCAAAUUUACAACUAACAGACAGACACUUUUUUGCAAGGAUCUGUCCAACACAUACAACUAACAUCUAAAUUAAGGCUUUUACUGGUAUGGGAUCAGGUCUAAGGAUAUGCAAUGCUGGAUUUCCAUUUAGCAUCUCCAGCUUUCAUUGUUACCCAACUUGUAAACCAGAAGAUGUGCCGAUGGGCAGGAGCUCCAAUGGCUAACCAUUCACCAACUGGAAGGCUUGUUUGUAAACAGGUUCU